ACAGAAACCUAAGUGAUUUAGAGUGUGACUUUCAUGAACAGAAAUAGUCUCCAUAAUCUAAUCUCCAAAAUGCACUAAACCAGGAGAAGAUCCACCUGGAUAAUUUUGUUGUCAAAGGAAUGGAAGAAUAUUAAGGAGAACAAAUCCUCAUCUCUCCAAAGACCCUUCAUCCUUCAUUUCACAAUAGUCUUUAUUGGUCUGCUGGAGUUUGCUGGAGGUCCACUCCAGACCCUGUUUGCCUGCGUAUCACCGGCAGAGGCUGCAGAGCAGCAAAGAUUGCUGCCUGCUCCUUCCUCUGGAAGCUUCAUCCCAAAGGGGCACCCGCCUGAUGCCAGCCAGAGCUCUCCUGUAUGAGAGAUGCCCUGCCCAGUGAGGAGGAAUCUAGAGAAGCAGUCUGGCCAUAGCUUUGCUGCACUGCGCACUUCUCCUUGCUGCCGCCAUGUGAAGAAGAAUGUGUUUGCUUCCCCUUCCGCCAUGAUUGUCAUGACAUUUUGAGCACAAUUGUGUGUGGGAUGCAUUCAUCAAUAGAGCUGGAAGCACCAACCACCAUAGGAGUAGAGACAGGGUUUUACCACAUUGGCUAGGCUGGUCUUGAACUCCUGACCUCAAGUGAUCCACCCCCCUCAGCAUCCCAAAGUGCUGGGAUUACAGAGGAAACUUUUAGUUACAAGCACAUGAAUAAAUAAAUCAAACUCAACUGGAAUGACGUUCCUGAGGAUGGAGAUACAUUUUUUUGUUGACCCAUCUAAACUUGAACAGCAAGUGAUAAUUAGUCUCCAAUCAGAAAGUCCCAGGACUUAUAGGAGCAGAAAUCAGAAGACUUUACUCCACAAACUUCAGGUGGACAUGUGGACAAAGCCAUCUGAGAACGUGACAAAAAUACAGCAAGAGCAGAGACAAGAUCAGAUCAUCCUGGGGGCAGAUGCUGGGCUCUGACCAAUUUGAGAGAGAAAAGGAAAAAGAACCCAGCUACAAGAUGCACAAGUAGCAGGCCACAGCCACCAACAUCAGCAGAGCAAUUGGAGGCCAGGAAGACAAGGACACUUCUGAAGAGACUGAAAAAAGCAGAAGACAGUCCAAGUCACUGCAAGGUUCCAAGGUCUCUUUUUUCAUUACUGUACCAAGUAAGCCAAAAUCCACCCUACUCUUCAAAACCAUCUUGAAGAGUUGCAGGUCAGGGUUGCUGCAUCUGAGCAUGUUUACUCACAAAAGGUGACAGAUGCUCCUCAACUUACAAUGAGAUUACAUCCUGAUAAAUGUGUCAUAAGUUGAAAAUAUGUUACAAGUCGAAAAUGCAUUUACUACAGCCUAACCCACUGAACAUUGUAACUUAGGCUAGCCUACCUUAAAACGUGAUCAGGACACUUCCCUCAGCCUACAUUUGGGCAAAAUCACCUAACACGAAGCCUAUUUUAUAAUAGAGCAUUGAAUAGCUCAAAUAAUUUAUUCAAUACUGUACAUUACAUAGAAUUUGUGACAGUUUUACACCAUCAUUAUGUCAAAAAAUCAUUAAGUUGAGCCACCGUAACUCAGGGACUGUCUGUAUUUAUAUUUUUACUUCACACUAAGCUUUGAAACUGAAAUUUUUGCUCCUCAGCAGAUGGGGUUUCUGAGAAAGACCAAAUUAGUUAUAGAGCACUAGCUCCCAAAAAAAAAA
rnacentral:lncRNA from 1 species